GACGAACGCUGGCGGCGUGCUUAACACAUGCAAGUCGAACGAUGAACCACUUCGGUGGGGAUUAGUGGCGAACGGGUGAGUAACACGUGGGCAAUCUGCCCUUCACUCUGGGACAAGCCCUGGAAACGGGGUCUAAUACCGGAUACAACACUCUCGGGCAUCCGAUGAGUGUGGAAAGCUCCGGCGGUGAAGGAUGAGCCCGCGGCCUAUCAGCUUGUUGGUGAGGUAACGGCUCACCAAGGCGACGACGGGUAGCCGGCCUGAGAGGGCGACCGGCCACACUGGGACUGAGACACGGCCCAGACUCCUACGGGAGGCAGCAGUGGGGAAUAUUGCACAAUGGGCGAAAGCCUGAUGCAGCGACGCCGCGUGAGGGAUGACGGCCUUCGGGUUGUAAACCUCUUUCAGCAGGGAAGAAGCGAAAGUGACGGUACCUGCAGAAGAAGCGCCGGCUAACUACGUGCCAGCCGCCGCAGUAAGAC
rnacentral:rRNA from 1 species